AGGAUAAUUGAGAGUUUAAUGAUAGGACUAUUUACAAAGUUGAGGGCAGCAUUAAGGGAAAUCCUGGAAGCCCAUAACAGUGGGGCUCCAUUGCCACCCCAUCCCUGAGAGUGGAAAUGGAGGAAGUAGUUACUGGAGCCCAGUGAGACCUUUGGUAUAAAACAGAGUUAGGCUGGAAGCAGUGGCUCAUGUCUGUAAUCCCAGCAUUUUGGGAGGCCGAGGCCGGCAUAUCAGUUGAGGUCAGGAGUUCAAGACCAGCCUGGCCAACAUAAUGAAACCCUGUCUCUACUAAAAAUACAAACAUUAGCCCAGCAUGGUGGUGCACGUCUAUAGUCCCAGCUACUUGGGAGGCUGAGGCAGGAGAAUUGCUUGAACCCGAGAGGCAGAGGUUGCAGUGAGCUGAGAUCGCACCACUGCACUCCAGCCUGGGCAACAGAGUGAGACUCUGCCUCAAAAAAAAAAUUAGUAUGUUGAGGCACUUUCAUGUUUAUUGUAGCACUAUUUACUAAAUGUCCCAUCUCUGAACUCUAAGUCCUGCCAUUUUCCUGGUAGGGAGGAACUUCAUGGCCAUGGAUGUGAGCUAUCCAAACACUCAGAAAAAAAGAAUCUUGACUGUCUUCUCUUCUUUGACCUUCUUCACUCUAUUUUCAGCCAACAUUCCCACAGCCCCACCCCCCAAAUCCUUGUCAUCAAUCUGAAAUGUGAAACACAGACAUUUCACUCUCUGACCACAACCACUAAUACCCCAACUCCCCCACUGCUUCAUUGCCAAUGGCAUGAGGGCUAUACUGGCCAACUAGGUCUUUGCUUAAGGUUCCAAAGAGUGCAAACACUAUAGAAGGUCAAGUCUCCCUCCUAUUAAAAGACUUUUUUUUUCUAACAUUUUGAAAUCUUUUGUUACAUGUUUACACGGAAGUAUUUGAAGAAAUACAAGGGAGUACAAGCAGUUUUUCUAAUGUUUCAUAAAGAAAAACAGGUGGGGCCUAGCAGUCCAAAGUGGUGAUUAACAGCAUGAAACUUACAUUCACAGCCAGGCGUGGUAGCUCAUGCCUGUAAUCCCAGCACUUUGGGAGGCCGAAGUGGGCAGAUCACCUGAGGUCAGGAGUUUGAAACCAGCCUGACAAAUAUGGUGAACCCCGUGUCUACUAAAAAUAGAAAAAUGAGCUGUGUCUGGUGGCUAUAAUCCCAGCUACUCGGGAGGCUGAGGCUGGAGAAUCACUUGAACCCAGGAGGCAGAGGUUGCAGUGAGCCAAGAUCGCACCAUUGCACUCGAGCCUGGGCAACAAGAGCAAAAGAGCGAAACUCCAUCUCAAAAAAAAAAAAUUUACCAUCACACAAGACCAUACUAAGACUCUACACUCAUUAGCUGUGAAAUGCAGAAGCAAGUCACUUAUGACCGGCUUUGGGGGAACUUAUCUAACUCAUUUGCAAAAUGGAGAUGAUAAAGCUAACCUCAGUCUUGCAAUCAGGAGUUCAAUUAAGAUUAUGCUCAUAAAAAGCUUCCUGCAGUUCUGGGGGUUUUUUCAAGCAGAUAAAUGGAGCUGGGAUAGGACUGUUUUAAUCCAAACACAGAUGAGCACAGGAAAAUAUCACAUGUUCACGUGUAUGCAACAUGGCCCACAAGUCUGCACACACACACCAGAAUGAACACAUGAAAACAUCCACGUACUGGCCGGGCACGGUGGCUCACACCUGUAAUCCCAGCACUUUGGGAGUCCGAGGCGGGCGGAUCAUGAGGUCAGGAGAUCGAGACCAUCCUGGCUAACAUGGUGAAACCCCAUCUCUACUAAAAAUACAAAAAAUUAGCCGGGCAUGGUGGCAGGCACCUGUAGCCCCAGCCACUCAGCAGGCUGAGGCAGAUGAAUGGUGUAAACCUGGGAGGCAGAGGUUCCAGCCGAGACCAUGCCACUGCCCCCCAGCGUGGGGACAGAGCAAGACUCUGUCUCAAAAAAAAAAACAAAGAAAAAAACAUCCACAUACUUAUAUGUAGUCACCCAAUUGUGAAUGUAUACACACAAAUAUGAAUAUGCAGCAUUCAUCUUGUUCUACACAGAAAUACACAUCGUAGACACCCCUAAAUCAUGUGUGCACACAUGCUGUAUGCAGAGACAGACACAAAGAUUGGCAAGCAUUGAGAAACAGUGCCACACCCUGUCAGGCACACACACACAUGUGCAUGUGCAGACAUAAGUUGGAAUGGAUACCCAUUAUCAAGCACAAACAUACACACCACAAAGCCUGGUGCACACAUAAAUUCAUGUAUCAACAUGAACAUGCUGAAACAUACAUACACGUAGACACUAAAAGCAUGCACCCAGAAUGACACACACACAGUUGUAUAAAUGAGGAUAAACAUGGCAGAGGCAUCCAGGAGAACCCACUGGACAAAAUGGCACAAAACACAAAGAUGCAUGAGCACACAGGGUGAUUGAGGGGAACACUGACUUGCAGGGAAGGAGAAAGAGAAAGAUAGAAAGAUGGGAUCCAAGACAAGCAUAGACAGACAGGUGGGCAAAGUCCUGUGCAGGGCUCCAGGGCCAACCAGAAUAACCUGAGAGUCUAAUGCUGGCCUGUCCUUCCGCAGAUACUGCCUAACUCAGCACCACACUCCAGGAGGCCAUGAAGGAUUAAUUUCCUAUUCACAGCUCCAUGGGGUAAAGCUUGGCUGUGCUGAGGAAGGGAUGGCGAAGGAGGUUCCCAAAGACUCUGUCCCUUUCCUCCUUCCCAAAGGAAAAGAUUUGUGAGCUUUAGACUAGAGAAUGUAAAAGCAAGGAAUGUGCUUAGGGAACAUCUCAUCCAUCCGCUUCAUCCUACAGAUUAAAGAGAACAACUACCAUUCAUUGAGCACUUACUGCCAUGUACCUCAUCUGCAUUAACACUUAUACUUCUCCCCUAAAUAGCCAAAGAGGUAGGAGCUGUUCUUGGCUCCAUAAGACUCAGAGAGAUGAAGUCAGCUGUUCAAAGCCACACAACAAAGAAAGGAUAAGGUUAGGAUUCCAAUCCAGGCCUUAAUCAUUGCACCAUCCAUUCAGAAAGGGAAACUGAGGCCCAGCAAAGGAAAGGGAUCUUCCUGGGCUCGCCACUAACUCACUCUGAAAGCCUGUUCCCAAGACACUGCCCACUGGGACAAGUCCCUCCCACAUGAUUUCAGACACCAUUCUCUCACUCCAUGCUCUAGGGUAAUCAACAAGUCCAAAAUUCAUUGACCUCUAUGUCCACAAAUACUAGAGUUCUCCCAACCUGUCUCUCCCCAUCCCCUCCCUGGCCAGGUCAUGGCAACCUGCUGAUCACUCAGUGCACUUCCUAGUGCCAACCCCAGUGAGAAACAAACUCCCCAGAUUUCUGUCUCCCACCUUUUUAAGAAACACGAAGGAAAAGGAGGAGCCAGGCCCAGGUGCAGACUGGUGAACAGGAUUAGAGCGAUUGAUAUCUGCCAAGCUGGUGCUAAUCUUCCUUCCCACCUCUUCCCCUCCAAAAUCAACAAACAACUUUCCUCUCUCUGCCUUGUUCUCUGACCUUUGUUCCCUCCACACAGGUCUCAGAGCUCAGCAUCCUAGAACAGUUUGAGCAAGAUGUCAGUCCUGGGGGUGCCAACCUCACCCACCUCCACUUGUCCAAAGUUGGUGACCCAGAGGACAGGUGCAACCCUAAAUGGUCCAACCACCACAGCCUGUCCUGUGGCCAUCUGGGGCCCCUCUCAGGGUCUGGCUGAGGCUCAUCUCAGACCCACAUAGGACCAAUAUCAGCACCUGCCUCAUGCUCAUGUCACAGCCCACUGGGACCAACCUCAGACCCUAUAUGGUGCCACCCUUACGCCCUCCUGAAGCAGGACACUCUUAUGCCCUCAAUGACACCUGAGACAACACACAGAGCCCUCUUGGCACCAAACAUGACUUCAAUAUUCUCCUGGUGUCAAGUUCAGUGCCAACUUGUUUCCCAUCCUCGCAUACACCUGGGGGCAGUCCCAAAGCCAACACGAUGCCUUUCCCUCCCUGGCCAUACCUGAUGCUGAUAUCAGAACCCACCAAUGUCAUCAGUGUGUCCACUGCUGAUGCCAGUCCCAGCACUCACCUCCUGCUAAGGCUGGCCUGCACUUGACUCCCAGGGUGAUCUAGGCCAGUCAAUGAAGGGGGGUGAGGAGAAAGUUCACAUCCCAGCUCCCUCACUUACUCCCUGUGUGACCUCACUCAAGAGGAUUUAUGGAGUCUAGAUCUGCUCAUCUUCAAAAUGAGGAUGAUCAUGAUGAACCAACCUCAUUGUUACAAAGAUUCAACCAGAUCAUACACACCUAGACUUAAUCUUCCCGUAUACGACCAUGCUCACCAAAGGGUAACUGUCCUGUUUACUAAGGAAGAAUUUCCCUGAGGGAAGGACAGGAGGGCUACUCAUCCCUUCUCCACUCACACCCACCCCAGGAUCUGCCUCUGUGCCUAAUACUGGAGUUUACCCCAAUCUCUUCUGCCACUGUUCCCUCUGCCUGCUAAUAGUAGUAGCCCCUGACAAAGCAGGAAUCAUUCUUAAAGGAGACUUAACUCACCCUCGAAUGUGAUCUUCUCUUCCCAAACACUCCCUUUCCACUGGCAGGAAAACCAAAUCCAGAAAGGGGAACUAAGUACACAGAGCAGGAGAGAUGGGAGUUCAGGGCCACUCACACAUGUCCCCUGCCCACUGUCUGUUUUCUGUCCUCUGUAGAUCUUUAUAUAAAAUGAGAAACAUAAACAACAAUCAUAAUAUUAAUAGGGAUGAUACAAUCAAUCUAGUGGGUUUCCCUGAGGAUCUGGGUUGGAAACCAGCGGACAACCCUUGGGACACUUGAGAUUUUUCCACCAUUUGGGGGUUGUUAUUACUAUUUCUCCAGACCUAGCCAAUCCCUCUGCCAACCGCUAACUCCAGGUACUCUUCUCCAGGUGUGGGGAAAGUUCCCCUGAAAUAUGGCUCUGGUCUUCCUCCCCUUCCCAAUCAGAGAUGGGCAGUGGAGGUUCUAUGGCACCCAUCCUGGCCUCACUCUGAGGUUCCAAUGAGGAUUCUGGGCAUCAAGAGACAGCUCUGGGCAAAAGCAAAAUCAAGUCAGCCCCUGGACCCAGUGCUGGGCUGCUGGGCUUUCUGGGAGAACCCGCUGGGCUUGCUACACACUCCUCCUCCCAGAAACUCCACACCCACAGCCCUGGGUCUUCCUAGCCCCGAGACUUUCAAGUCCAUAUGCCUGGAAUCCCCCUUCCUGAGACCCUUAACCCUGCAUCCUCCACAACAGAAGACCCCUAAAUGCACAGCCACACUUUGUCUUACCCUAAUAAAACCCAGACCUUUGGAUUCCUCUCCCCUGGAACCCCCAGAUCCACAACUUUGGGGUGCAUUCUCACUCUCAGACCCCAAAUCCAAAGCCCAAGUGCUCCCCUAUGCAAAUAUUCCAAACUCCUCAGUUCUACAGCUUAUCUGUUGCCCCCUCCUAAAUCCACAGCCCUGCGGCACCCCUCCUGAAGUACCACAGAUUUAGUCUGGAGGCCCCCUCUCUGUUCAGCUGCCCUGGGGUCCCCUUAUCCUCCCUUGCUGGCUGUGUCCCAAGCUAGGCAGGAUUCAUGGUGGGGCAUGUAGUUGGGAGGUGAAAUGAGGUAAUUAUGUAAUCAGCCAAAGUCCAUCCCUCUUUUUCAGGCAGUAUAAAGGCAAACCACCCCAGCCGUCACC
rnacentral:lncRNA from 1 species